GACGAACGCUGGCGGCGUGCUUAACACAUGCAAGUCGAACGAUGACGACCGAGCUUGCUCGGUCUGAUUAGUGGCGAACGGGUGAGUAACACGUGAGCAACCUGCCCUUCACUCUGGGAUAACCUCGGGAAAUCGGGGCUAAUACCGGAUAUGAGCUCCUGUCGCAUGGCGGGUGUUGGAAAGUUUUUCGGUGAAGGAUGGGCUCGCGGCCUUUCAGUUUGUUGGUGGGGUAGUGGCUCACCAAGGCGAUGACGGGUAGCCGGCCUGAGAGGGCGACCGGCCACACUGGGACUGAGACACGGCCCAGACUCCUACGGGAGGCAGCAGUGGGGAAUAUUGCACAAUGGGCGAAAGCCUGAUGCAGCGACGCCGCGUGAGGGAUGACGGCCUUCGGGUUGUAAACCUCUUUCAGCAGGGAAGAAGCGAAAGUGACGGUACCUGCAGAAGAAGCGCCGGCUAACUACGUG
rnacentral:rRNA from 1 species